GGGGCUUUAGCUCAGUUGGCUAGAGCAUCUGCCUUGCACGCAGAGGGUCAGGGGUUCGAGUCCCCUAAGCUCCACCA
rnacentral:tRNA from 3 species